UUUCUGUCUGAAAACCCCCGGACCGGGCCAAACCGACUGCACAGGUGUGCAGAGAUUUCACCUGCAGUCAUGCCGCUGACAUUCAUGUCCACUAUUAAGUGGGUAAAAUCGUAGACAUUUCCAAAGAAAAUGCGCGUUUUUUGAAUAGUUCGGUGUCGAGAGUGGAGGACAAAAGCAAAGAGGAUGCAGCAGCAGCAGAAGAAGAAGAAGAAGAGAAAGCUCGACUUCCGGUUUUCCAGCAGCGCAAACUUGAGAAAUGGUUGAAUGAAAAAACGGCCGUAUUUUAUUUCCCGACUUUCGUUUGAUAAACACAUAAUAAGCAAUCAGAUAAAUGCUCGUUUUCCGUUUUUUGAUUUUCGAUUUCCAAACGAAAAACGGGAGACGGCUCGUUUUCCGUUUUUUGUUUACCUUCAUCCAAACGGAAAUCGGAAAUCGAAUGGUUUUCCGUUUUUCGUUUACCCAUAUCAAUCCGGAAAACGAAUGGCCGUAAGGUACACGGACCUCUGGAGCCGAUAGAGAGCAGCCGCUCCGAGAAGACGGUGGUUUUGUUUUUCUUUUUUUUCCCAUUUGCGGUGAUUUUUUCCCCCACUUUUAUCCAUUUCUAACGGCACCGUUCGGUUCCGUUGAACCUCCUCUGCAGUGAUGGAAAGCAGCCGCUGCUCCUCCGGUGAAGACCGGUGUUCAGUAGACUUUUUGGAAAGGUUUGCGUUGCUGUCGCGGUGAGACCGGUGGAACAGAUCGUCACAGAUGGCUCGCUGCUUUGCAGGCUAGAACGCCGCAUAUCCGAUCCGAACUGAGCAGACCUGAACCGUACCGAAACUGUGGCCGUUUCUCAAUACGCGUACUUCUCUGUACUUGUGAACUCACGGACUCGUGAAACGUCAUCAGUCAGAGACCAGGUACUGUUCCAAUUCAAAGUUCGCAUCUCACCAAGCACGCAUGAAAUACCCGGAUGUGACUAACUCCGCCCACUUUACCGAGUCUGCAUCGGACCAGACUUGUGCAGACUUGAGAAGCGAAAUUACCCAGAAUGCGUUUCGCAAGACAUGCCCGGGGUGUAAACACACAGCGGUGAGUAAAAAUAGCUAUGAAAUAUUAGCGUUAUUGUUUAACAGAACGUAGUUUUAACGGUAUUUUAGGCGAGAAUAUAGCUGUUUAGAAUGUUGAUAUGGGGUCAGUCUGUCCACAUCAAGCUUAUUUGAAUUUUUUUUCCAACGAUUUCGGACAUUUGGGGACCGGAUGGCUUAACGAGGCGACCCGGUGCUGAGCUGCUGCAUGUCGGCUGCAGCAGGCUGUGACUCCCCUGUGCUUAAACAUGAGAUAUUGAUCGUUUUGUGUGAAUCCGGUGUCUUGGUCCAGUGUAAUCUGUUUCAGAGUAAUUUUUUUUAAUUUGAUUUAAUUUUUAUUUGUUUAUUUGAAUGGGACAGUGCACAUUAAUGAACAUGCUGAAACAUGUAAACAUGCCGGAUUGUAGCUUGGUGCUAAUUUCUUCUACUCGUUAUAUUGGUGAAUGUUGUGCAUUCAGACAAAAAACUAUGAACUAUUUCAAUCAAGGCAGUACUGAGGAACCAGAACCUGGUCCAGAGGUGAUCUGCAGCCAGAUGUGGAUGGAGGGAGAGACUUUGGGACGUCUGCAGGGUCGGCUGUGACACCAAACAAGAUAUAAAUAUAAGAAGCAUAAUCUGAAGGCCUGAUCCAAGCAGGUUGUCAGUCUGGUGUCAUAAAGGCUGGGUGCUGCAGGUCUGAGUCUGAACCUCCACCCAGCAGAAACCCAGCUGGUGGAGACAGGACCAGCUGGUUCAUGGUGGAUCUGAGCAGGACCAGGGCCUCGUCGCAUCCCAGGAGGAAGAAUUCUGAUGUGGCUUCAUCAGCGACUCCAGCAGGAUGGAGAAAUGCCUGAAGACCAGGAGAGCAAAGCUCCAGGUUCCUCCACCUGCUCCUGUCUGGAAGUGGAUCACUGAGAUGAAGUUCAUCAGCUCAUCCACAACACUGAGGACGGUCCAGAACCCUGCAGAACCAGACCGGAGCUCCUGACUCCAUCCAGGGGAUUUUUCCUGGGAGCAGAAUCUGUAGAAUCUGUUCUCCCAGGAAACACUGAAGACUGGAGUCACAUGACCUCCUUAUCAUUGACCUGUUCAUGUUGUUGUUGUUGUUGCUGGUAAAUAAAAGAAAGAACUGUAGAACUUUUAAAAACAUGCCAUUUUUUAAACCUUCCUGAUGUUUCCACUUAUUUUUGCUUUUAUUCUUGAAGGUUCUGUUGAAGUUUAAUACAUUUUCCGUGAACUCCUGACUUUGUUAGACAUCUGUUUAUGAUUAAUAUCUCUCUUUGCAACACAUUGAUGUUUUUACUGAAGAGAGAACUGAAUAGUGAUAAUGAUUUGUUUAACUUUAUAAUGUAUAUUAGACUCAUGUAAAUCAGUGCAUCAUGAAGACGGGAGCAGAUGGAGGACAAAAGACACACAGGUAUGACAGGCAGUAAAACAAAGUGAAAUAAUUGUGUUUGUAGAAAC